rnacentral:rRNA from 1 species
AUUUUCUGCCACCGAAUACAUUAGCAUGGGAUAAUGGAAUAGGACCCUGUCCUCCUAUUUUCAGUUGGUUUUGGCAGCGCGAGGACUAGGGUAAUGAUUAAUAGGGAUAGUUGGGGGCAUUAAUAUUUAAUUGUCAGAGGUGAAAUUCUUGGAUUUAUGAAAGAUUAACUUCUGCGAAAGCAUCUGCCAAGGAUGUUUUCAUUAAUCAAGAACGAAAGUUAGGGGAUCGAAGACGAUCAGAUACCGUCGUAGUCUUAACCAUAAACGAUGCCGACCAGCGAUUAGGAGACGUUGAAUACAAAACACCACCAUCGGNGCGGUCGUCCUUGGCGUCUGRSUUUCGGGGSSGGCGCGGGGRYGGCUUAGCCCGGUGGCACCGGUGAAUGACUCCC